GACGAACGCUGGCGGCGUGCUUAACACAUGCAAGUCGAACGGAAAGGCCCUUCGGGGUACUCGAGUGGCGAACGGGUGAGUAACACGUGGGUGAUCUGCCCUGCACUUUGGGAUAAGCCUGGGAAACUGGGUCUAAUACCGGAUAGGACCAUGGCAUUCAUGUGCUGUGGUGGAAAGCUUUUGCGGUGUGGGAUGGGCCCGCGGCCUAUCAGCUUGUUGGUGGGGUAAUGGCCUACCAAGGCGACGACGGGUAGCCGGCCUGAGAGGGUGACCGGCCACACUGGGACUGAGAUACGGCCCAGACUCCUACGGGAGGCAGCAGUGGGGAAUAUUGCACAAUGGGCGCAAGCCUGAUGCAGCGACGCCGCGUGAGGGAUGACGGCCUUCGGGUUGUAAACCUCUUUCGCUCACGACGAAGCGCAAGUGACGGUAGUGAGAGAAGAAGGACCGGCCAACUACGUGCCAGCCGCCGCCGUAACAC
rnacentral:rRNA from 1 species